rnacentral:rRNA from 1 species
AUACGUAGGUGGCGAGCGUUGUCCGGAAUUACUGGGCGUAAAGGGCGCGUAGGCGGUUUUUUAAGUCAGAUGUGAAAACCCAGGGCUUAACUCUGGGAUUGCAUUUGAAACUGGAAGGCUUGAGUGCAGGAGAGGUAAGUGGAAUUCCUAGUGUAGCGGUGAAAUGCGUAGAUAUUAGGAGGAACACCAGUGGCGAAGGCGACUUACUGGACUGUAACUGACGCUGAGGCGCGAAAGCGUGGGGAGCAAACAGGAUUAGAUACCCUGGUAGUCCACGCCGUAAACGAUGGAUACUAGGUGUGGGAGGUAUCGACCCCUUCCGUGCCGCAGUAAACGCAAUAAGUAUCCCGCCUGGGGAGUACGGCCGCAAGGUUGAA